rnacentral:rRNA from 1 species
UACGUAGGGGCAAGCGUUGUCCGGAAUCAUUGGGCGUAAAGCGCACGUAGGCGGAUUGUUAAGUCGGGGGUGAAAUCCUGAGGCUCAACCUCAGAACUGCCUUUGAUACUGGCAAUCUCGAGUCCGGAAGAGGUUGGUGGAACAGCUAGUGUAGAGGUGAAAUUCGUAGAUAUUAGCUAGAACACCAGUGGCGAAGGCGGCCAACUGGUCCGGUACUGACGCUGAGUUGCGAAAGCGUGGGGAGCAAACAGGGAUUAAGAAACCCCAGU